UUUAGAGGAAGUAAAAGUCGUAACAAGGUCUCCGUUGGUGAACCAGCGGAGGGAUCAUUG
rnacentral:rRNA from 2 species